UACGUAGGGUGCGAGCGUUGUCCGGAAUUAUUGGGCGUAAAGAGCUCGUAGGUGGUUUGUCGCGUUGUUCGUGAAAACUCACAGCUUAACUGUGGGCGUGCGGGCGAUACGGGCAGACUGGAGUACUGCAGGGGAGACUGGAAUUCCUGGUGUAGCGGUGGAAUGCGCAGAUAUCAGGAGGAACACCGGUGGCGAAGGCGGCAUCCUGGACCAAUUCUGACGCUGAGGAGCGAAAGCCAGGGGAGCAAACGGG
rnacentral:rRNA from 1 species